rnacentral:rRNA from 1 species
GGGAACGUGCCCUUCGGUUCGGAAUAACUCAGGGAAACUUGAGCUAAUACCGGAUACGCCCUUAUGGGGAAAGGCUUGACUGCCGAAGGAUCGGCCCGCGUCUGAUUAGCUAGUUGGUGAGGUUACGGCUCACCAAGGCGACGAUCAGUAGCUGGUCUGAGAGGAUGAUCAGCCACACUGGGACUGAGACACGGCCCAGACUCCUACGGGAGGCAGCAGUGGGGAAUAUUGGACAAUGGGGGCAACCCUGAUCCAGCCAUGCCGCGUGAGUGAUGACGGCCUUAGGGUUGUAAAGCUCUUUUCUCCGGGACGAUAAUGACGGUACCGGAGGAAUAAGCCCCGGCUAACUUCGUGCCAGCAGCCGCGGUAAUACGAAGGGGGCUAGCGUUGCUCGGAAUCACUGGGCGUAAAGGGCGCGUAGGCGGCUGAUUUAGUCGAGGGUGAAAGCCCGUGGCUCAACCACGGAAUGGCCUUCGAUACUGGUUGGCUUGAGACCGGAAGAGGACAGCGGAACUGCGAGU